ACAACACAACUAAUACAUGCAAUAUAUAUUGCUUUCACACACACCAAAACAUAUAUACUUGAUAUACUUUUCUCAAAAACAUGUUCACUUUUACUGAAAACAGAUGCACAGUCAAAACUAAAAUCUGACACACGACUCAGAAAACACAUUGUUGCAUUGUACAAUGCACUACAUUCUCAUAUGUACUAGAUUACUCAGUAAGUACAGUGUGCCACAGUGUACAACAAGGCAUAUAUCCCAGAAUCAGAAUACAGAUGCACUUCACUGCAUUGUAUAAUAAGCUCCAUUUCAUCAUCAUUAUGGAGGGUCAUUCACAUCUUCCUACUGCCAUGCAUGCAUAGGCACCCACUUAAUAGUCUACACUUCUCCAUACAUCUGAAAGAGGAACGGUUAUGUGUGGGUUCACACUUAUCCACUACACCCAAAAACAAAAUGGUUAUGCAGGGGUACACUGAAGCUUAACAUCAUGCAGGUGCUUUUGGAAUGACUCGUCUCAAUAACAAGUGAUGCACACUUAUCAAAAUCACUUUCCAAAACACAUGGAUGAAAAUAACACUUAAAACACAAUAGUGCUUUCACCAAAAAUUUUCAUUUUAUAUAUGAAAGUACAUAUAAAACACAAAUGAAAACACUUGAAACUUUGGAUGCUAUGCAAUCACAAUAUUCAUUUACUAUACUGAAAAUACUUUUAAAAUAUUUUGAAAACUACAUACGCUAUGCAAUCACAAUAUCCACUUAAUAUAUUGAAAAUACUUUCAAAACAUUUCAAAAACUACAUAUGCCAUGACAUUACAACACCCACUUAUCUCAAGUGUGAUGCAAUCAAUUUAAGCUUUCUCUAUUAUGAAAAAGUAUCCCUUUAUAUUUUCCUCAGUUUUCUCUGGUCACUCCAUCAAAGUCUUUCCACAAAAAUACUUCAAUUUUCUCUUUUCACUCAAGCAGAGUCUCCCCUUAUAUUUUCAUCAAUU
rnacentral:lncRNA from 1 species